rnacentral:rRNA from 1 species
UACACUGUGGGGACCGCCGCUGCUAAAGCGGAGGAAGGAAUGGGCAACGGUAGGUCAGUAUGCCCCGAAUAUCCCGGGCUACACGCGAGCUACAAUGGUUGGUACAAUGGGUAUCUACCCCGAAAGGGGACGGGAAUCUCCUAAAACCAAUCUUAGUUCGGAUUGAGGGCUGCAACUCGCCCUCAUGAAGCUGGAAUCCGUAGUAAUCGCGUUUCAACAGAACGCGGUGAAUACGUCCCUGCUCCUU